AGCUCCAGUAGCGUAUAUUAAAGUUGUUGCAGUUAAAAAGCUCGUAGUUGAACUUUGGGUCUGGUUGGCCGGUCCGAUUUUAUGUCGCGCACUGGUUUUCAACCGGAUCUUUCCUUCUGGCUAACCUGUACUCCUUGUGGGUGCAGGCGAACCAGGACUUUUACUUUGAAAAAAUUAGAGUGUUCAAAGCAGGCGAAAGCUCGAAUAUAUUAGCAUGGAAUAAUGGAAUAGGACGUUUGGUUCUAUUUUGUUGGUUUCUAGGACCAUCGUAAUGAUUAAUAGGGACGGUCGGGGGCAUCAGUAUUCAAUUGUCAGAGGUGAAAUUCUUGGAUUUAUUGAAGACUAACUACUGCGAAAGCAUUUGCCAAGGACGUUUUCA
rnacentral:rRNA from 1 species